GAGGUAGAAACCUUGGAACGUCUUGGUUUUCAAACACACACUGGAUUGUUUCUUCCAGCUUCAUCUGUCAGCGUUGGGCGGGCGGUGGUAGUGUCAUCAAGGGCCUCUAAAGGUUUUCAUGUGGAAAAGCAGCUUGAAACGAUCCUAUCUCCCCAGGAAAAGCAGAUCUGUGCCAGGGUCAGCCAUCUGAAGCUCUGAUUUCAAGAGGAAAGCAGAGGGGAGUGGAAGAGAAAGUCGGCCUCUGCCUCGGGAUGAAGGCGACCCUCUCUGUGACUUGGCUCGCGUCUUCCUGCAGCAGAAGGAGGGCAGCGUGAUUCUGGGUCACUUUGUGACGGGCGGACCACACAAAACAAAGGAGGGCGGUGCUGCGCGCUGACUGCUGCCCCGGUUUGAAAACAUUUAAUCAACUCUCCUCCCAGGACAUUUGAGUUCUGUGCACUCCUGCCCUUGUGGGCUCCGUCUGGAAGAAAAAGUGCCAAAACCACCGCUGGAAAGGCGGCCCGGAGGUAUUUUCAGUCCGCCUGGAAGCAGCAGAUUUGGGUCCUCUGACAUCGUAGAUGAGAAGAAAGUACCCGGGGAGCAGCCUGUGGAUGAGAAACUUCUUUUCGGGGGAGCCGCAGCCGCUGCCUGGAGCCUGACAUCCUGCCCCUCAACAGUUUAGAGAAAUGGGGCCUGCUCAGGGUCCACAAACACCUGGCCAGGAGGGGUCUGAGCCUCCUCUGAGCCCCCCAGCACCGGGGCUCCAUUCUCAGGAAGCAACCCCAGCAUCUGAGAGCAUCCACCUCACUUCCUGAAUCUUUGGAAAAGAAUUUGCCAGGGGCUUCCAGAGACUUGGGCCAAAAUCCUCACUUGUCCUCCCACUUGAACACGGUACCAGACCUACCUGGGCUUCGGAGUUUUACCUCUGAAACAAGAAGACGGGGGGAGCCAGCCUCUGGGGUGCCUCAGCCCGGGUGCCCGUUGCCCCUGUAUCUGGACCAACCCACAGGCCGGGCGGCCACCUCGGGGCCCCCAGUGGCCCCUUCCAGCCUGGUUCGCGGGGAGUCUCCCUCAUCUCCACCUCCAGGUCGCCCCGUAAACCGCGAGCUCCUGUAGCCCCUGCUCAGAAGAGCGCUCUGAGCAGGGGCUGAGGCCUUUCACUGAGUCCUCCAGGCCUCGGCGGGCUUGCUGAGGGGACGGGGUGUCUGCGACGGUGUGACCACGGCUCCCACAGCCUCGGGGACAUGCCCAGGCUCGGGCCAGCGCACAGAGGCCAUGCUUUCAGAGUGAGUUCAGCGGGCCUGGCGGGACCCACGGCCCGGUCAGCUGUCAGCCACACGCAAGGUUAUCUGUGGGCGGAAACCGUCACCGUCUAUGUCUGCUGCGAUUUUGGCAGCCACGGGAGGGACGGUGCAUCCCUACAGGCCUGGCUGAGUCAGGUUCCCUCCGUGCCAACGGUGCCGCCAUCUUUGGCCGCCAAGGAGAGACGUUUUGGCAGGGCCCAGCGGCGUUUUCCCCGGAGGACAGUGUUACCGGCUCGCGGAGGAGACAGAGCUAGAAGGUGGCAGAGCUAGAAGGCAGAGCUAGAAGGGGGCUGGGAUUCUGGAAGGACCUGGAUGGUUCUGGGAAAAUCUGGUAGCCAUUUUUGAAAGGAAAAUAAAACCAAAGCAAGGUGUGGGAGUGAGAGCGUGGAACUUCUUGGAAAUGAGGAGAAAGAAAAUAACACGUCCGUCUCCUCAGCCUUGACCUCGUACCCCCGCGGCCGGCUGGACGACUCUGCUGGACUUUCCUGAUGCCAACUCGGAUCCAAAGUGUCCAAAACUGAGGUCAUCCUCCCUCACCCUGGCUCCUCUUCCCGUUCUGGCAGUAGAGCCACCCUUCAGACACCAGAGCGGGGCCUCGGGGGAAACCUCUGGUCUUCCCUUCUUCACCGCCGUCUCCGGCCGUCUCCUGCUCUGAGUCAGGAUUUCAAAGUCAUUGCUCACAAAAGUGAACAUAACUAAAGUGACCACGAAAGAAAAGGAAUCUCCAAAAGGAGAACUAAACCAAACGUCGGAGUAAACCGGGGGAUUUCCCACUGCUUCAUCCCACAGGCUCCGGCCCAGCCAGGACACCUGCCCCAGGCCUCGGGCUCGGAGCCCACCCAGCCCCCAUGGAGCCCACGUCCCGCACCUCCCCCUGGGCCCAGGCCCCUGACCCAACCUUUCCUGGAUUUGCUGUCCCUGUUCCUAAGGCCCUCACCCCUCCUCCCACCUGCCCUAUGAGACGUCCUUCCUUUGCCUUCUGAACUCACAGUAACUGUCAGAGCCCAGCUCAGCCAUGCAGCCUCUACCUGUGGGGCUUCCUGACCCGUCCCUGCCUUGGGGUUCUACUGCGCCCACAGCAAGGACAACGGAGCAUCGGCUCCCAGCUCGGGCCCCAGAGCCACGCGACACCUGUAAGUGGGAGCCACGCAAUGCCGGCUGAGUUGCGUAACAUUUCAGAGCCUUUGCCGUCCUUUCUGUAAAAUGCGACUGAUAACAGUACCUAACUUACGAGGGUGAGGGGAGGAUUAAAUAGGAUAUUGCCCUCAGUGUGCUUAGUACAAUGUCUGACAAUUAAUUAAUAAUCAGUCAACAAUUCUUGUUGUCACUGCUGUCCUUCUUCCUACUCUCUCAUUUCCACUUUCCCGUUUGCUCGUUUGUUUUCAUGCGGCCAUCUUGUCGACCCCUACUAACUUGUAAGUUCUCGAAGGGCAAAGACAACGCUAUCUUUGUAUUAUGUUCUGCCCCGUGGUGCGCAUACACACGCACACACGCGUGCACACACACACACACACACACACACACACACACGACGUUGUUGGAGUCGUGCCGGGGGCUGAGUAGAUGGUGGACGGACAAAAUUCCUGUCUGUCUGUGUGCAGGGUAGGUGGAGGCCUGGGGCCCCCAUCAUCUGUAGUGAUGAAACAUGGGCCUCGAGUAAAGAGGCCAGGCUGCCAACCAGGAGAGGCAGUGAGGGAGCUUCCAACGAGCACAGUUAUUUUAUCCAAUGUCACCCAAAGGAAGGCUAGGAUAACAUGCUCUGACUUUGGGGAAUUUAUAAAAUAGGCAAAGAACAACUGAUGAGGACAUGACAACUUCUGGAUUCAGGAUUUCAGGCAGCGUGUGAGGAGAAGGUGAAGAAAGGAAAGAGGCAGAAAGGGUCCCAAACCAUAGCCCCUGGUGAUGGCCGUGUAAUGGUUUUAUCUGAUCCAGGAACAAAACAAAGACAACUCUUUUCCAUGUCAGAGUUUUAAUUCUAGCGCUAUUUCUCCAUCAAACAAAACUGAACUCAAGGUAAAAUUGAAGGAGAAUCCAAUAGAAAGCAAUUGAGGACAGGCAAAGUGAACCAAAAUAAUGAAAGAGGCCUUUAUCACAUCCUGCCUCAAAACAGAAUGAAGAGACAGGCCCCAGCCCUGGAUCCCUCCCUGAUUUCCAGGCCUGGGACUCCCCAGAGGCAGACUUCCUACCGGUUGUCCCAUUGUUGCUUCAAUCCAGCCCCAGGGCACUGAUCUUAUCUCUUCAGGUUUAUUCAUUUGUUUUCCUAUCUCUAAAAUGCACCUUUGUAUAGAAUCUGGGCAUGGCUGAAAAAUUACCCCAUUCUUAGCAGUGUCUGCACUAAUCAUGGCCCCUCCCUCCUACUCUCCCACCUGGGAGUCAGCACGCGGGAGCCCUUGUCAUCAGGCAACAUCCUUAGCACCACAGGGGGGUAAGAAAUACAAAGGCACA